rnacentral:rRNA from 1 species
UACGUAGGGCGCAAGCGUUACCCGGAAUUAUUGGGCGUAAAGAGCUCGUAGGCGGUUUGUCGCGUCUGCUGUGAAAACCCGAGGCUCAACCUCGGGCCUGCAGUGGGGUACGGGCAGACUAGAGUGCGGUAGGGGAGAUUGGAAUUCCUGGUGUAGCGGUGGAAUGCGCAGGAUAUCAGGAGGAACACCGGGUGGCGAAGGCGGUUCUCUGGGCAUUACCUGACGCUGAGGAGCGAAAGUGUGGGGAGCGAACAGG